CACCUGAAGAAGGGAGGCAGGAAGCUGACGGGCAGCAACGAUGUGGACGCUGUUCUUUUUCUGGUGUCUGGGCUCUGGAGAGUCCCAGACUCUGACUGAGACUCCGACCGUGUUGGUGAGACCGGGAGCCAUGGCCACGCUGAAUUGUGACAUCGGGACAAAGGAUGGCAAUCGUGUGAACUGGUACAAGCAGACUCCAGGAACAAUUCCACAAUGGAUCCAAAGUUACCAUAAUUCCUGGACUAGCCCACUCUACGUCCCUGGGUUUAACAGUGACUGUUUCAGUCGAAAGUCAACAGCGUUGGCACCGAGUAUCAUUAACAGGAUGGAGAUGAAUGACACUGCCGUCUAUUACUGCGGAAAGUGGGUUUCAUCGACCAGUACUGAAUUAUCACAGUGAGAGAAGAUAAAACAAAAACUAGAGUCAGCCAACAUGACACAUUUCACAGCUUUGUAUCAGAUGGAACAUUCGAAUCUUUAACUCUUCAUGCAGUCACUUUAAUUUUGCCCUUUAUACAGUAUUUUCCAAUGUCAAUCAUGCCAUACUAUAUUUAGAAAGUUUCCAAAUCCCGUUGCCCAUUGUCAAGUGUUUGAUGUCGUUUAAUGUCAGUCUGGUGGUGCGGCUGUGAGUUCACCCCCUCCAGCCCCUCACAGAUUGGGACAGUCGGGAUCUGUGAAGUCUGGUUUCAAGCUGACAUGGGAACGUCUGACAGUGUUUUCUGCCUGAUUACAGAGUAAUGGGUAAUUGCAUGGACUGAACCUUAGAAUUUCACACUGUGUGGGUGUUCGGACCUGGGACAAAGCUCUUUGUUACAGGUAGGUGCCUGGGAAAUAUCUCCUGCAAUAACCCCGGCAUAAACACAGC